rnacentral:snRNA from 1 species
AGCUUUGUGCAGUGGCAGUAUCGUAGCCAGUGAGGUUCAUCCAAGGCGCGAUUAUUGCUAAUUGAAAACUUUUCCCAAUAUCCGGCCAUGAGGACUUGAAAUAUAGUUGGCUUUGGCAGUUGUUGACAGUCUCUUUGGAGA